GACGAACGCUGGCGGCGUGCUUAACACAUGCAAGUCGAACGGAAAGGCCCCAGCUUGCUGGGGUACUCGAGUGGCGAACGGGUGAGUAACACGUGGGUGAUCUGCCCUGCACUCUGGGAUAAGCCUGGGAAACUGGGUCUAAUACCGGAUAGGACCGUGCUUUAGUGUGUGCGGUGGAAAGUUUUUCGGUGCAGGAUGAGCCCGCGGCCUAUCAGCUUGUUGGUGGGGUAAUGGCCUACCAAGGCGGCGACGGGUAGCCGGCCUGAGAGGGUGUACGGCCACAUUGGGACUGAGACACGGCCCAGACUCCUACGGGAGGCAGCAGUGGGGAAUAUUGCACAAUGGGCGGAAGCCUGAUGCAGCGACGCCGCGUGGGGGAUGACGGCCUUCGGGUUGUAAACCCCUUUCGGCAGGGACGAAGCUUUUGUGACGGUACCUGCAUAAGAAGCACCGGCUAACUACGUG
rnacentral:rRNA from 1 species